CAUCAUUGGGCNCACCUGUCUGAGGGUUAUAAU
rnacentral:rRNA from 1 species